CUCCUACGGGAGGCAGCAGUGGGGAAUAUUGCACAAUGGGGGAAACCCUGAUGCAGCGACGCCGACGUGGAGGAAGAAGGUCUUCGGAUUGUAAACUCCUGUCGUUGGGGACGAUAAUGACGGUACCCAACAAGAAAGCCACGGCUAACUACGUGCCAGCAGCCGCGGUAAAACGUAGGUGGCAAGCGUUGUCCGGAAUUACUGGGUGUAAAGGGAGCGCAGGCGGAAGGACAAGUUGGAAGUGAAACCCACGGGCUCAACCCGUGAACUGCUUUCAAAACUGUUUUUCUUGAGUGGUGUAGAGGUAGGCGGAAUUCCCGGUGUAGCGGUGGAAUGCGUAGAUAUCGGGAGGAACACCAGUGGCGAAGGCGGCCUACUGGGCACUAACUGACGCUGAGGCUCGAAAGCAUGGGUAGCAAACAGGAUUAGAUACCCUGGUAGUCCAUGCCGUAAACGAUGAUUACUAGGUGUGGGAGGAUUGACCCCUUCCGUGCCGCAGUUAACACAAUAAGUAAUCCACCUGGGGAGUACGACCGCAAGGUUGAAACUCAAAGGAAUUGACGGGGGCCCGCACAAGCAGUGGAGUAUGUGGUUUAAUUCGAAGCAACGCGAAGAACCUUACCAGGUCUUGACAUCGGAUGCAUAGCUAAGAGAUUAGCGAACCCUUCGGGGCAUCCAGACAGGUGGUGCAUGGUUGUCGUCAGCUCGUGUCGUGAGAUGUUGGGUUAAGUCCCGCAACGAGCGCAACCCUUACUGUUAGUUACUACGCAAGAGGACUCUAGCAGGACUGCCGUUGACAAAACGGAGGAAGGUGGGGAUGACGUCAAAUCAUCAUGCCCUUUAUGACCUGGGCUACACACGUACUACAAUGGCGUUAAACAAAGAGAAGCGAAGCCGCGAGGUGGAGCAAACCUCAAAAACAACGUCCCAGUUCAGACUGCAGGCUGCAACUCGCCUGCACGAAGUCGGAAUUGCUAGUAAUCGCGGAUCAGCAUGCCGCGGUGAAUACGUUCCCGGCCUUUACACACCGC
rnacentral:rRNA from 1 species